GAAGUUCACAGCUCACAAGAUGGACCUGUCCUCCUGGUAAAGCUGUGGAGAUCACCUGUUCAGAUCCUGAUCAUGUGAUCUUGGUAGGAGGAGCCAGUCUUUGUUCUGGUGAACUUCAAUUAAAGCACCACCAAGAAUGGCGACCUGUAGUUAGCCUUAAUCUCGCUUGGACCAUGGAGUCAUUACAGGUGGUUUGUCAUCGGCUGAACUGCGGUUCUGUUGUUUCUAAAACGGUCAAAACAAAUGAAACAGAAACACUUGUGUGGAGGAUCCAACCAGACUGCAUGACAAGUAUGUCUUUGUGGAGGGAAUGUGUGGGCGUGGACGAUACUUCAAGCUCUGACCGGAUAAACAUCACCUGCUCAGAAUCCAUCAGGCUGGUGAAAAGAGCUGAUCAGUGUUCAGGCAGGCUGGAGGUGAAGUCUGACAACUCCUGGUCCAUAGUGUGUGAAGAUGACUUUGACCAGCAGGAUGCAGAGGUGGUCUGUAGGGAGCUGGACUGUGGGCCUCCUUCAGUCCUCCAGGGGGCGCUCUAUGGAGAAACAGAGGCUCCAGAGUGGAGCAGAGAGUUCCUCU